UACGUAGGGUGCAAGCGUUGUCCGGAAUUAUUGGGCGUAAAGAGCUCGUAGGCGGUCUGUCGCGUCUGGUGUGAAAACUCAGGGCUUAACCCUGAGCUUGCAUCGGGUACGGGCAGACUAGAGUGCGGUAGGGGAGACUGGAAUUCCUGGUGUAGCGGUGAAAUGCGCAGAUAUCUGGAGGAACACCGGUGGCGAAGGCGGCAUCCUCGGACCGGUAUUGACGCUGAGGCGCGAAAGCCAGGGGAGCAAGCAGGG
rnacentral:rRNA from 1 species